GACGAAGGGGGCUAGCGUUGUUCGGAAUUACUGGGCGUAAAGGGCGCGUAGGCGGCUUAGUAAGUUGGGAGUGAAAGCCCGGGGCUUAACCUCGGAACUGCUUUCAAAACUGCUAAGCUAGAGUAUAGUAGGGGAUGAUGGAAUUCCUAGUGUAGAGGUGGAAUUCUUAGAUAUUAGGAGGAACACCGGUGGCGAAAGCGAUCAUCUGGACUAUAACUGACGCUGAGGCGCGAAAGCGUGGGGAGCAAAC
rnacentral:rRNA from 1 species